GACGAACGCUGGCGGCGCGCUUAACACAUGCAAGUCGAGCGGGAACCGGGCCUUCGGGCCCGGGGACAGCGGCGAACGGGUGAGUAACACGUGGGUAAUCUGCCCUCGGUACUGGGAUAGCCCGGGGAAACCCGGAUUAGUACCGGAUAGCCCUUCGAGCCUUCGGGCUCGCAGGGAAAGGUAGCUUCGGCCUCCGACCGAGGAUGAGCCCGCGGCGGAUUAGCUUGUUGGUGGGGUAACGGCCUACCAAGGCGACGAUCCGUAGCUGGUCUGAGAGGACGAUCAGCCACACUGGGACUGAGACACGGCCCAGACUCCUACGGGAGGCAGCAGUGGGGAAUCUUGCCCAAUGGGCGAAAGCCUGAGGCAGCGACGCCGCGUGCGGGAAGAAGGCCCUCGGGUUGUAAACCGCUUUCAGGAGGGACGAAGCCACUCGGGUUAAUAGCCUAGAGGGUGACGGUACCUCCAGAAGAAGCCCCGGCUAACUACGUGCCAGCCGCCGCCGUAAAAC
rnacentral:rRNA from 1 species